rnacentral:ncRNA from 1 species
CUAUCUGUCUGGCGACAGACGGAAAAGUACCGUAAGAAGUCAGCAGAGGUCAUAGUAGUAAUGUGUUGCAACACAGGACGAAGGAC